UACGAAGGGGGCUAGCGUUGCUCGGAAUUACUGGGCGUAAAGGGCGCGUAGGCGGCACUGUUAGUCAGGCGUGAAAGUCCUGGGCUCAACCUGGGAACUGCGCUUGAUACGGCAGAGCUAGAGGAUGGAAGAGGCUCGCGGAAUUCCCAGUGUAGAGGUGAAAUUCGUAGAUAUUGGGAAGAACGACCGGUGGCGAAGGCGGCGAGCUGGUCCAUUAC
rnacentral:rRNA from 1 species